ACAUAGGUGGCAAACGUUAUCCGGAUUUACUGGGCGUAAAGCGAGUGUAGGUGGUUAUGUAAGUAGGGCGUGAAAGCUUCUGGCUCAACAGGGAGAGGCCGAUCUAAACUGCAGAGCUAGAGGAUGGUAGAGGGGGGUGGAAUUCCGGGUGUAGCGGUGAAAUGCGCAGAUAUCCGGAGGAACACCAGUGGCGAAAGCGGCCUCCUGGGCCAGUCCUGACAGUCAGGCACGAAAGCUAGGGGAGCAAACGG
rnacentral:rRNA from 1 species